AGCAGCGAUAUGCGCAGUUGUGUUACUCGCUCGGUUUAUUUCACGUUUUACACUCAAUGCGGCUAUUUUCGGUCAUUUUUCUUAACAUUUUAAAUCGCGUUCGUAUUAGUAUUGGAGUAAUGGAAGUGUUGUUGAUGAUAUUAUUUGGUCUUCUGGGGCUCGCCCUGGGUGAGGAUCAGUACGAGGAAUACGAGUGCGACAGCGCCGCAAACGCAUCCGUUGGAUAUGUUCUGCUCAUCACGUGCCUUCUAGUGCAUUUGGCAUUGACUUUUCGUCAGGAGAGAGCAUUUUAGGACAACUCGUACUCAGCGAUUCUUCGCACGUGUGUGGCUCAUCGGCCCUUUCCAUACGACAAGAUUUGCAUUCAGAAUGCGUUAUUUUAUUGAACAAACGGGUUGUGAAAGUCUCUUUGAACACUUCAAUAAUACAAAUCAACAUUUUAAAAACUCGAGUGUAGUCACAAAUGCAAUAUUAGAACUUAACAGUAACAACCGACAAGCCUUUGGCACAUUUUUUUUUUAUUGUAUGCUUGACCAGAAAUAUGUACUUAUGUCAGGGACAUGCAUGCUGUAUAUGAAGUGUUGUGUUGCGCAUUAAAUACGUGUUUCUUUAUUGAAAUAAAAUGAAAGAAAUUGC